GGCGGAGGCGGGAGCGGCUGCUUCGGGCCCCGAUCUGGGGAGGGUAUGAGGCAGGGGAGGACGCCGUCCCUUUCGUUCCCUCUCUGAUUCGUCCUCUUCCCUCUUUCCUCUUUCCAUCCCUCACUUCGCCCUCAGGUCCGAGGCAACGAGUUUGCUUCCUCUGCUCCGUUCAUGUCAUUGAGCUUUUUCGUUGGCCAUAGCACCACAUUUGCGGCAGCACACCAGAGUCAAUUUGGUUGACUAGCAACAGAGCAAAGGUCUUCACCUAUGGAGGAGGUAGAUACUGACGGAGUGUAUAUGACCAGGUGUCCUCCAGGUUCUGCAUCAUCAGUGUGUACCUCUAGAUUCUGCAUCAUUAGUGAGCAACUUACCUAAGCAAAUCACCCUGCCCUACGAACCACCAUUGCAAGCUGUUCACUUAACCUUCCAAAGCCAAGGUUCCUGUGUCGGCUUCUGUCGAUAGUAGAGAAAGUACUUCAGCUGAAGAUGCUAUUGACCUAUAUCCAAGGAAGAUGAAACUAAGCUGGAUGGUGAGAAUGCUGAUGCUGUGGUUACCGGAGAUGAGAAGAACGUGCAGUCUGACCAAACCUAGCCUAAGAGCAACCGAGCCCAAUCAACAAUUAGUAGAAGUAGUUAGGAGAUGAGGCAGAGGAGAGCAGAGAGGACCGGAGAAGGAGUUGCAGACCUCGCCAACAAGGCCGUGACCCUGCAUCACUAAAAAAUGCCCCGUAUUUGUUUCUCAUGCUUGGGUGAUGGCUGACCAUGGCAUGUUCUUAUUAGUUCAGGUUGGUCUCUCCGGUUCUUUUUGCCGAUGGCUUGAUGUACGCACUGGCAACCUCUUACUGGCAUGCCUCUGUUCGAGAGAUGGGAUAUGAAGAAAUGGCAUUCUGAGUUUAUGAGGUUGCACUGCACCAUCAAACUAUGCUCCAUGUUAAGCAACAUCCAGAACUGCCAUUAUAUAUUUAAUGUAGUAGGUUGAUGCAAGUUUGUAACCAGUCAUGGAUCUAAAAUAGGCUUUCUACCUCUUUAUUUUGGCCGGCAUGUUUUGGCAUGUGUUUUUGUCAUUGAUCUGCUAUAUAUUAAUUACAUUUGAGUAGACUGUUGACUGAGAAAGCCUGAACAUGUUGUGUUUUGAUUUAUGAGGACUAAUAGAUAGUUUUCCCUCGGGUUUAUUUAUUUUCUCUCCACACUUUUAAUUCUACAUAAAAGUACAUUCUAUUGUUAUUUAUUUACUAAUGCAAUAUAUGUACCCUUAUGUGUCUCAACUUCAUCAAUUUUAGUUUGUGUUUUCUGCGGCGCAGAACACAGUUCAAGGCAGUGCUGUGUCAAAGAUCUGUGCCAAAUAAUUAAGCUGAUUGAAAUAUCAAACUUUGGGUGCAGUCAUCUUGGUCCUGUAUAUAUGACUGUCUGAUACAAAAUCUGGACAGUUCUGUCAUGCCUUUUAUCUUCACAUCUGCCUUUCAUGAAUUUACUAAAGUUUUUUUUUACUUGAUCUUAUGUGCAGCUACGUUUAUCCAGGUUAUAGGGCCUCUAUAGGAAAUGUAAUAAUCUGAAUUCCUAAGUAAAUAUAACAGCUCAUUUUCUUGCUUAAAUUUGCCAUUCUGAAAUCCUAAGUAUUUAUAACAACUCAAGUGUAUCCAUAUAGUAAGAUAUGACAUUAGAUUUUCUUCUUACUUGGAUCUUUUGCCAUGUAAAGUAGAUUGUCCUCGAGUCGCUGUUGUGCUACUGCUAGGCACGAACAGAAUGGCCUCCUCUUAUUGCGAACCACACUGAUGUUGGCUUCUGAUUUCUGCUGUAAUGGAUUAUUUACUAUGGACAAAUAUGACAACAUUCAUUUGGAGCACCGUUUCUUGAGGCUAUGUUUCUUCUACAGCUCUCUAAACACGGCCUGUCAUGUAGGUUUCUAAUUCAUUCUAUUCUACAGGUCUUGUUGUACUUGCAUUGCCUUGCCUUUUUAUCUGCUGCUCUGUUGGCUGGGCGACUACUUCUGCUGCUAUAUUGAUUAUUGUCGCCUCUUUCUCCGUUGUAAGGUGUUGUGUUCAGUCCAGCGCCGUGCCUACGGCACAAAUUCGUUGGCCUGAACAACGCUCCCGGCGCCGUGGAUGCACCCACUAGCAAGCUCAGGCCAAGGGAUACAUGAUAUCGUGUGCUUGUACUAAAAAAGGUGUUCUGCCAUCCCAUGGAUUCUAGCACAGCUCGAAGCGGCCAAGUCAAGGAGGACCUAUAAAAUUAUCUGAUCGUCUCUCUCUUUCUAUAUAUGUGUUGUCUGGUGCAUGUAUGGCUGAGAAUAGGGAGAGAGAGCAAGCUUAAUUUUCAUUGGGCAUUCAAAUUCUUAUUUUGCUUUUCUCAGAUUUUUGGCUGGGUGUUUAAACAUACUUGCACACACUGGUUUCAGAUUUCAGUGUAAACUACAAAUAGGGGGCAAAUUAUAGUGAUUUUUCCAAAUUAGAAAUAGGGGGAAGGGAAACUAUUGAUUAUUGUGUGCAUGUAUAACUAAUUGGAUUACUGGUUGAACGAGUGCAGAUUUGAGAAAGAAGAAAUAGGGCCAAUAAAAUUAGGUGGGAGGUAUGCUGAUCGGUUCAUUUUAGCACUACUAAUCGACCGCUUGGCAUCCUGAAGGUAUGAUGCAUAUUGCCUUGCUCUGAUUUGCUUAUUUGAAUGUGUUUGUGUACAUCAAAGUUCAUUUCGUUAUUUUUGCUCUUUGAGGGAUAUAGGAGAGAUAUCUAUUGUUGAAAUUUGAUGAUAAAAAUAUAGCCAUUAUUGUUACAAGCAUUAUUGUUCCAGUUUUUUUUACUUAUUGAUCAUGCCAUUUUUCUUUCUGCCUUUGUAGCUGAAAGAUUAGUGAGUCUGACUAAAUUCUAAACAUGUUACAUGUGAGAGAAAUAGCAUGUUGAUUUAUUCUUGAAAUAAUCAUAGCUGAGGGACGAGGUUCGUAACCGAGGGUCAUGUGCAGAGCUGGAGGAAGAAGUUGCGAGGCUUGGAACUCUCCUUGUGAAGGGCUCAGGGACAGCAGUGAGGACAAUGCUUCUUUAAUUGUAAUUGUGAUACUCCUUAUGCUAAAAUGUUGGUGGUUAGUACAGAGGUGAUGACAUUGUUUGGUUCUCUGGUAUUGAUUUCAUGAUUUGUGGUUAAUACA